UACGGGGGGGGCAAGCGUUGUUCGGAAUUACUGGGCGUAAAGGGUUCGUAGGUGGCUUGCUCAGUCAGACGUGAAAUCCCUCAGCUUAACUGGGGAACUGCGUCUGAUACUGGCGAGCUUGAGUGCAGGAGAGGAACGCGGAAUUCCAGGUGUAGCGGUGAAAUGCGUAGAUAUCGAGAGGAACACCUGCGGCGAAGGCGGGUAGCUGGGCCGACACUGACGCUGAUGCGCGAAAGCCAGGGGAGCGAACGGG
rnacentral:rRNA from 1 species